rnacentral:rRNA from 1 species
CAGCAGCCGCGGUAAUACAGAGGGUGCGAGCGUUAAUCGGAUUUACUGGGCGUAAAGCGUGCGUAGGCGGCUUCUUAAGUCGGAUGUGAAAUCCCUGAGCUUAACUUAGGAAUUGCAUUCUAUACUGGGAAGCUAGAGUAUGGGAGAGGAUGGUAGAAUUCCAGGUGUAGCGGUGAAAUGCGUAGAGAUCUGGAGGAAUACCGAUGGCGAAGGCAGCCAUCUGGCCUAAUACUGACGCUGAGGUACGAAAGCAUGGGGAGCAAACAGGAUUAGAUACCCCCGUAGUCCCUGUCUCUUAUAC